UAACAGCACAAACAGAUAAUAAGUUUAUUAUACGAUUUAAGGUAGUCAGAAGAGAAAUGAAUCAUGGUUUAUUGACUUGACGAAUGUUCCGCUAGCAAUAGGUAUUUAAAAAGAUAGUGCAGGGCUCCCAAACACAUGAAAAAUCUACGAAAUGCACCAAAAUCAUAUUUGACCGAUAGUUAGCGCAAAACAACAGCAAUACAAAUCAACUUCAACAAAUCCGACACCUGUUUGAAUUGACGAGGAGAAUAACUGAAUAAUAAUAUUCAAUCAGAACGCAGCGAGUCAGCCACGAAAAAUGUCUGGAGCUUACGAAAGCCCGGACGCAACUAUUGAAAAACGAGAUACGCCAGCGGUCGUUUGAUGGCAGUACAGCAGAUUACACAAGUCAUGCUGUGACAUGAAGUUACAUUUCUAACACGUACAAAAGUAUCAAUAUCCUAUGUUGAAAAUGGACUAGAAGAUACUGAUAAUAAUAAUGGAUUUAUGCAAACUAUGUUAAUUAUUACAAUAUUUCUGCAAAAGUUGUAAGGAGAGUGUUGAAACCGGAACUCCAAGCUAAUGCAAGCAAACGUGAUGAAACACAUGUAAAAUUUACCCCGUGGGUUAAGGGAUAGCCAUCCAAUGUCUAGGUGGGUUUCCGGGAAUAGUUUUUACUGCGAGAUUUGGUUGCUGUUGGAAGUAAGACAAUUGUAGAAGUGUUGAUAAUAAUUCGUAGUUUCUUUGUGUACUAAUUUUAAUUUUAGAUCAGAGUGAGUAGUGUGGUUAGAGACACAAGGGGGAGCAUUGAAAAGAUUUUUAGUUCUAUGUAUUGAAAAGUUUGUAUUUUAUUUAUAUUUGAAUUGUUUUGCAUUACCCCAUACUAAAUAUCAUAUGUCCAGACUGUUUGAUCAAAGAAUUAUAUAUGAGCAAUUUCAUACUAAAACCUACUAGUAUAUUUAUUUUAGCUAGGAAAUGUUAUAAAAAGGCGUAGUCAAAGGUUAAGGGUUAGUCGUUUAGUUUUUUUAUGCUUAGCCCAGGUUAGUAACACAAAUGUUUCAAGUGCAUAUAAGUGUAUACUUUAAAAUAUAAUGUCCAAAUAAUUGAACAUCGUUAUUAAAUUAUUAAAUUAAAUUAGUCUAAAUGUAAAAUUCUAUCAACAUAAUAUAUUAUCUAUAGUUUUUCCUAAUUUUCUCAUAGGUUUUGGAUGGUCUUUUUUUGAUAAAAAUACAAUUGUCUUCUGGUAAUUACAUUUGAACCAAAAAGAGUGCAAAGAUUUUGCAGAUUUUCAAUGAUGCUAUUAAAAUCUAAAAUAAUGCACAUGUAGUAGACUUCUGCCAUAAAAUAUUUCUGUAAAUGAAGUGUCAAAUCAUGAAUCAUUAAUACAAUUUAAAAACUAUAUAAAUAACUAUGUGAUAAAUAAAACUAUAAUAUAGCAGUUU